CAGCCGCCGCGGGAAUACGAAGGGUGCAAGCGUUACUCGGAAUUACUGGGCGUAAAGCGUGCGUAGGUGGUGGUUUAAGUCCGUUGUGAAAGCCCUGGGCUCAACCUGGGAAUUGCAGUGGAUACUGGGUCACUAGAGUGUGGUAGAGGAUAGUGGAAUUUCCGGUGUAGAGGUGAAAUUCGUAGAUAUCGAGAGGAACACCGGUGGCGAAGGCGGCCAACUGGACAGAUACUGACGCUGAGACUCGAAAGCGUGGGGAGCAAACAGGAUUAGAUACCCCAGUAGUCCCUGUCUCUUAUAC
rnacentral:rRNA from 1 species